CCCCUGUCAGAUGAUGAAGUUAUUUCGUACCUCCUUGCUGGUCUCCCUUCAGACUAUGAUGCAUUUGUUACUGCCAUGACAACCAGCCGUGAUCCCCUCUCCCUUGAUGAUGUUUAUGCACAUCUGUUGUCCUAUGAAGC